UGGUGACCUCUUAGGGAGGAAGAGAAGGACCGCACCGUCCGGGUUCGAUGGCAACCCUGGCAUCUCACGCCGGGUCCCUCUUAAGGUUCUUUCGUUGGCUUACAAAAAGGAGAUUAGAAGACUUGCUUUCUCAAUCUUCCCACAUCUAAAGAUGCUGAAAAAUGUGACAUUGACCUCAAUAUCAGAGGAUUCUCUGACUCAAAUAAAGGGAAGUUUCUGGGCAAAACUGGUGUAAACCUGAGGCAGAAGUAUUCAACAGAGGUCAGCAGGGAGCCUCGAGUAAAUCCCACUCCAACAAGUCAUUUCCUUCGGGAAGAAGCCUGCAGUCAGGUUUUCUUCUCUCCAAGUUCAUGAGGGGUUGCUACUUGCUUUGCUGAGAAAGAGUGAAGAUUCUUGUACUCCUGGCAAAGAAGGAGUUAAAUGGUGUUAUUUGGAAGUCCUUCUACAUUAUCCAGAUGUGGCUUAGAGAUAGGAUUAUGCUGAUGUCCUUUGUUUUUCUCCUUAAUUACCAAAGAACUCUCUUAUCUCAGACAUUCUGGUGCUUUGUUGGAAUUUUCUUAAUAAUACAGCCUACUACAGAGCAAUUUUGGGGGAGAACUGCAAUCUGACCCUUAAAUUGGGGCAGGAUUCUAGCAAAAUAGAGGCCUCCUGGCCAGAGCCUCUGCUCAGAUUCCUAACAGAAACACACUUCUCAUCAGAAUGGCUUCAGGAGAUCCGAUGACAGAGGCAGUUCUAUGAGUUUGUUGUGCUGGUCUUUUCAUUUACCUGAAAACUAUUUUAAAUGAUUGCUUUCCAAAUGCAGUGACACAGCAGUCAGUUUUCUAGAGACCUUCCAUUCAGUAAACUUCUUGCUCUGAAGGUUUGCCCUGUCAAUCCUGGAGGUGCUUGAAAGCAGAAUGAGCAGGUCACAGAGGCAUAGAAAGGAUAGAGGAUAAUAGAAUCUGUAAGAUUUGGGGAUCACAAAAAGUGAAAAUGAUCCACUGAUAUGUUCACCUCACCUGACUUGCUGGAAGGGACCUCAAAUGGUCUUCACGUUCAUCUUCCUGCCUCCACACAGGACAGCAGCAAAGCUUUCUGCCCACUUGGAGAUUAGGUCUGUUGCUAUCAAUGCUUCAGGAAUUUUUAAAAGUUGAUCUUAUAUUUAUCUUUAAGCAGAUUUACUCUUCCACACUUUUACUCGUUCUUCUACUGACUAUUAAGUUUGACUCUUAAGGGAUAUUCCCAAUUUGCAAAGUAAUUCACUACUUGUUGCUGUUACAAACAUGUCUAAUUUUUUUUAAUUAUCCAGUUACCACAGGAAAGUUAAUCAUGAUAAUCUAGAGCUUACAUCUUGACUUUUCGGUUUUUGAAUUUGUGAAAAAGCACAGUUUAUUGUCAGGUGACUUGAAUUCUCCCUAAAUUCAACCCCUUGCCUUUCCUGGCACUGUAGAAUGGUGGACAGAGAAAUAGAGCUGAAGCCAGAAGCCUCAAAUCCCAACUCCACCAUUACAAGCUGCAUCAUCACCAUUUAUGUUACUCUUGAUUUAUAGCCCCAAUUUUCUCAUCUGCAAAAUGUAAAAAAGCAUACCUAUGCCCCUAAUAAAUCAGGUAAUAAAUGUAAAAAGCAUUUUUAAAAUGCUAAAAUA